UCGAACGGCAGCGCGGGGCAACCUGGCGGCGAGUGGCGAACGGGUGAGUAAUAUAUCGGAACGUACCCUGGAGUGGGGGAUAACGUAGCGAAAGUUACGCUAAUACCGCAUACGAUCUAAGGAUGAAAGUGGGGGAUCGCAAGACCUCAUGCUCCUGGAGCGGCCGAUAUCUGAUUAGCUAGUUGGUAGGGUAAAAGCCUACCAAGGCAUCGAUCAGUAGCUGGUCUGAGAGGACGACCAGCCACACUGGAACUGAGACACGGUCCAGACUCCUACGGGAGGCAGCAGUGGGGAAUUUUGGACAAUGGGCGCAAGCCUGAUCCAGCAAUGCCGCGUGAGUGAAGAAGGCCUUCGGGUUGUAAAGCUCUUUUGUCAGGGAAGAAACGGGUCUUUCUAAUACAGAGNNCUAAUGACGGUACCUGAAGAAUAAGCACCGGCUAACUACGUGCCAGCAGCCGCGGUAAUACGUAGGGUGCAAGCGUUAAUCGGAAUUACUGGGCGUAAAGCGUGCGCAGGCGGUUUUGUAAGUCUGUUGUGAAAUCCCCGGGCUCAACCUGGGAAUGGCAAUGGAGACUGCGAGGCUAGAGUUUGGCAGAGGGGGGUAGAAUUCCACGUGUAGCAGUGAAAUGCGUAGAUAUGUGGAGGAACACCGAUGGCGAAGGCAGCCCCCUGGGUCAAAACUGACGCUCAUGCACGAAAGCGUGGGGAGCAAACAGGAUUAGAUACCCUGGUAGUCCACGCCCUAAACGAUGUCUACUAGUUGUCGGGUCUUAAUUGACUUGGUAACGCAGCUAACGCGUGAAGUAGACCGCCUGGGGAGUACGGUCGCAAGAUUAAAACUCAAAGGAAUUGACGGGGACCCGCACAAGCGGUGGAUGAUGUGGAUUAAUUCGAUGCAACGCGAAAAACCUUACCUACCCUUGACAUGGAUGGAAUCCCGGAGAGAUUUGGGAGUGCUCGAAAGAGAACCAUCACACAGGU
rnacentral:rRNA from 1 species